UACGAAGGGGGGCUAGCGUUGCUCGGAAUUACUGGGCGUAAAGGGCGCGUAGGCGGGUCGUUUAGUUAGAGGUGAAAGCCCAGGGCUCAACCCUGGAAUUGCCUUUAAUACUGGCGGCCUUGAGUAUGGCAGAGGUGUGUGGAACUCCGAGUGUAGAGGUGAAAAUUCGUAGAUAUUCGGAAGAACACCAGUGGCGAAGGCGACUUACUGGACACAUAUUGACGCUGAGGUGCGAAAGCGUGGGGAGCAAACAGG
rnacentral:rRNA from 1 species